rfam:Callithrix jacchus chromosome 22, whole genome shotgun sequence
UCUCAUGCUGUGACCCUCCAAAGGGAGGUGCUUUCUGUUGUCCAAAAGAAAGAACGCCUUCCCUUUAGAGCGUUACCGUUUGAGA